UAAGGUGGUUAUAGCAAUGGGGCUCACCUCUUACCAUUCCGAACAGAGAAGUUAAGCCCAUUAGCGCCGAUGGUACUACAUUGUGGAAGAGUAGGUCGCUGCCUUUU
rnacentral:rRNA from 1 species